GAUGAACGCUGGCGGCGUGCCUAACACAUGCAAGUCGAACGGAAAGGCCCUGCUUUUGUUGGGUGCUCGCGUGGCGAACGGGUGAGUAACACGUGAGUAUCCUGCCCUUGAGUUUCGGAUAACUUCAGGAAACUGCUGCUAUUACCGGAUAGGAGCUCCUGCUGCAUGGUGGGCGUUGGAGAGUUUCGGCGGUGGGGGAUGGACUGCCGGCUUAUCAGCUUGUUGGUGGGGUAGUGGCCUACCAAGGCUUUGACGGCUAGCCGGCCUGAGAGGGUGACCGGCGACAUUGGGACUGAGGUAGGGCGCAGAGUCCUACGGGAGGCAGCAGUGGGAAAUAUUACACAGUGGGCGGGAGCCUGAUGCAGAGACGCCGCGUGCGGAAUGACGGCUUUCGGGUUGUGAACCGCUUUCGCCUGUGACGAAGCGUGAGUGACGGUAAUGGAUAAAGAAGCACCGGCUAACUACGUG
rnacentral:rRNA from 1 species